GACUCGGUGGUGCAACGGUAGCGCGUUUGACUAAAGAUCAUACGGUUGCGUGUUCAAAACACGUCCGCGUCA
rnacentral:tRNA from 1 species